rnacentral:tRNA from 1 species
GCUCUUUGUAGCUCAGUUGGUAGAGCACACCCUUGGUAAGGGUGAGGUCAGCGGUUUCAAGUCCGCUCAAGAGCUCCA